UCUGAUUGGUCUAAAGACAACACACGCGGAUCAUGCAUGAACACCCCUCGCCGCCAACGGUAGCCCUCGCCCCUCGCCGCCCCCAUCAACCCCACCUCAGCCAGCGGCACCCUCGUGGAGCGGCACGCGGCGCUGGUGGCGGGGUCUGGCCAGCGACGCUGAGAUCUGAUGCGGCGCGACGCCGACGCGGUCCGCCACGACCGCCUGCAGCUUCCGCACGCCCAGCGACGGCUACACGGUCAGCGUGCCCAGGUCGGAGGUGCAUCGGGACGGGGGCUGCCGCCGGGCGGUGCACGUGUGGAUCUACUGCGAGAGCACCGGGGAGCUGCUGCUGCAGCGCCGCACCGACUGCAAAGACUCGUGGCCCGGCCAGUGGGACAUCUCCAGCGCCAGCCACAUCUCCGUUGGGGACUCCUUCCUCUCCUCCGUGCGUUUGCAGGGAGCUUAAUAAAGCUUGGACAGUGGUGAGGGCUCCGAUGGUGGUGAUGUUGUUGGGCUGGUUGUGGCCUCGUGUGCGGCAGCAACGGCCUCCCUCCUGUAACCUCUAUCGAUGGCCAUGGCAUGGCGACCUCCACGGACGAGGAAAGGAGAGGAGGACAAGCAGUCCCUGACGCCAAGUAUUCCUCAGGGUCUCAACACAAGGACAAGCAGCGGCAACAACAUCUUCUUCCAUUCAGCCCAAGGACAAGCAGCAGCAGCGACCACAGCAGAUGCAGCCAUGCAGGGGACGACGAUGACGCUCAGCAGCAGUAGCAGCUCAAGGCGGCGGUGCUGAUUAGAUUUGUUCCUCAAGGACACCCAUGGAUCUUGCUGCAUGUGGUGGGUUUUGGAGAACCAACCUGAGAUGCAGGAGGUGGGUUCUUGAGCUGUGCUCUGCUCCUCUGCUCCUAGGGCGACCAAGAGGUCUUGCCCCGAGCUGAAGCACGUCCAUGCCGACCCACCACGACAGCAGGUGCCGUCCUUCCAUGGACGAGGAGGACAACGACCUGGACCUUGACGGCGACGUUGUCAACCCCGCACAAGGCCGCUCGCACCCAAUAAUCCUGAUGAGGCCAUGAUGCUUACCUUGCUGGAGCGCAUCAACCCCGACCAUGGUACCACAUCCACCCUCUUGAGGUAGCCGUGCUGCAACUGCAUCAACGCUAUCUUCUCGGACUAGAUAAGUCUACGGUCUAUCCCAUUAUCUUCUUUUGUUACUUGGUCGAUGAGCCAUGAUGAUAUUGUGUUGAUUCCCUAUGUGAUGCAGAAGCUAUGGUGUUUUGUUUUGAGUUUGUUGUAAAUUGAAAUUGAUAACGAUUUGUGUAAAAUUAAUGUAGAACAUAUAUCUGGUGAUCUUAAUUCGUUCGUGCCGUGCUCAAUGAACCAUCUAAGAUUGAAUCAUUUUCUGCGUUCAACAUCUAGAACCAUUCUGGGAGUUUUGGUAUUCAUGCAACAACUAUGCGUUCUUGUCUUUUGUGUUGUUUCUAUGAGCUGGUCCUUGUGGUUAUUACUGUUACAUGUUACAUGUAGAGAUGCUUCAUGAUUUAGUCCCUAGCUGCUUUCUAUAUUUUGUUUUUAUUUUGUUUCUAACUCUUUUGGUUUAUUGUUAGAUGCCUUCGUUCAGCCUGUAUGAACAUAUCCAGAAAUGGUGUUUCCUCUCAUCGAAGGAGCCCUGGCUUGAAAGUGAAGAAGUCUGGAGUAUAUUUGUAGUAGUAGUUAUAUGUUGUGAUAGUAUCACAUGUAAUGGUGAAAUGAAUUAUGUAAAGAUUGUGCUAUUAGCCAAAAUUCUCAUGUGGCUUGAUAAUUUU